rnacentral:lncRNA from 1 species
AAUGAAAAAAAAGUUCGUGAAUCGGGUGGCCAAAUAUCCUAUUCUAUCAAGACAGACCAACUAAACCUCCCUCACCCUAUUAGAUCUUCUCGACCUAAAGAAAUAAGUUGAAUAAACAGCUAUUGCUACUUCAUUUCUUCCUCUUAACUGGUGCUUGAUCCUCGUCCUCCUCAUCCUCGUCUUCUUCCUCAUCAUCCUCAUCAUCAUCUCCGUCAUCUUCAUCUUCAUCAUCCUCCUCAUCAUCACUACCUUCAUUGCCAUUAGCCUCGGGAGCCACUUCAUCAUCAUCCUGGUCAUCAUCUCCCCCUUCUUCACUAGAUAAGUCCUCAUCAUCAUCGUCGUCGUCAUCAUCAUCAUCUUCAUCGUCAUCGUCAUCGUCAUCGUCAUCGUCAUCUUCAUCAUCAUCCUCUGUAUCACUUCCGUCN